rnacentral:tRNA from 1 species
CCGCUUAUAGUUUAACGGAUAAAAUAAUAAUCUACGAAAUUAUUGAUUUGGGUUCAAAUCCCAAUAAGCUAA